ACUGCCCCUACGAUGCCGACGCCGCGCCCUGCUCUCCGAUCGGCCACAGCACGCCGUAGCUACCCCCAGAAAUCACGCUGAUCCGAUCUGUCGCAGCUUGAGUUCCUUCUUUCCCUCCGAGCGCUCCCCGGAGCCAGUCGCCCACUCGCGCACUCGCCCCGAACCUAACCGCUGGCUGCUGGCGGGCGGCCGCCGGCCAACAGGCGAGGGAGCAAAGGGCGCGACCGCGUGACCGGCAAGGGGCCGAGGCGGCCGACCGCUCGGGCAUAGGGCGCGGGCAUGCGGCGGCUCGGAUGCAUGGCGCAAGCGCUGCGCUGCGUGGCUUCCUGGCCGCUUGGGCGCGCUGCGCGGUGGCGACGCAUGGAGGCCAGGCGGCCAGCGGCCAGCAUCACCAGGCACCAGCAGACAUCAGUCCAGCACGCAAGAUAAGCGCACGGCCAGAUGGCAGAGGCAGCAAGCCAGCAAGCAAACAGGUUGAAAUGAUCAAUGACUGAAUUUUUAUGUUUGGAUGCAUUCGAGUAUGGAUCAAGAAACAAUGAAUUUCAGGAUUCCAGGAUGCUUAUACUUAAUUUUUCCUUUCCAUAGUGUAGACUUUGUAUACUUCGCUACAAUGUAACAUUUGUUUUCUACAUGUAUACUUAAUGUAUAUUAUAUAUAUUUGUUUCCUUUCUACAA